UACGUAGGGGGCAAGCGUUGUCCGGAAUCAUUGGGCGUAAAGAGCGUGUAGGCGGCCUGGUAAGUCCGCUGUGAAAGUCCAGGGCUCAACCCUGGAAUGCCGGUGGAAACUGUCAGGCUCGAGUCCGGAAGAGGCGAGUGGAAUUCCUGGUGUAGCGGUGAAAUGCGCAGAUAUCAGGAGGAACACCAAUGGCGAAGGCAGCGUCCUGGCCGAGCACUGACGCUCAGGCACGAAAGCGCGGGGAGCAAACAGG
rnacentral:rRNA from 1 species